CUUUUCACUGAUCUUGUCAUAUUUCUGCUUUUUAGUACCAGCUUUCAAGCCUUGCCAGGGAAGGCUGAAAAUCAAAAGAAAAUCCAAGUCAAAUAAUUUUUUCUUUUUAAUGCCCAAAGAGUGCAUCAUAGGGAACAAAGGCCUGCCAUUCCAAAGAAACUAAGUUAAAUAUGUCAUUGAACUUGAUUGAGGCAAAUCAGUGAAGUGCCAACCUUCCUCUCAGAAAAUACAUAAGCACAUAACCAAGA
rnacentral:misc_RNA from 1 species